rnacentral:rRNA from 1 species
AUUGAACGCUGGCGGCAUGCUUUACACAUGCAAGUCGAACGGCAGCGCGGGGGCAACCCUGGCGGCGAGUGGCGAACGGGUGAGUAAUGCAUCGGAACGUAUCCUGUAAUGGGGGAUAACGUAGCGAAAGUUACGCUAAUACCGCAUACGCUCGAGAGAGGAAAGUGGGGGAUCGCAAGACCUCACGUUAUAGGAGCGGCCGAUGUCCGAUUAGCUAGUUGGUGGGGUAAAGGCUCACCAAGCCGACGAUCUGUAGCUGGUCUGAGAGGACGACCAGCCACACUGGGACUGAGACACGGCCCAGACUCCUACGGGAGGCAGCAGUGGGGAAUUUUGGACAAUGGGCGCAAGCCUGAUCCAGCCAUUCCGCGUGCAGGAUGAAGGCCU